rnacentral:rRNA from 2 species
GUCGAGCGGUAACAGGGGUAGCUUGCUACCCGCUGACGAGCGGCGGACGGGUGAGUAAUGCUUAGGAAUCUGCCCAGUAGUGGGGGAUAGCCCGGGGAAACCCGGAUUAAUACCGCAUACGUCCUACGGGAGAAAGCAGGGGAUCUUCGGACCUUGCGCUAUUGGAUGAGCCUAAGUCGGAUUAGCUAGUUGGUGGGGUAAAGGCCUACCAAGGCGACGAUCCGUAGCUGGUCUGAGAGGAUGAUCAGCCACAUCGGGACUGAGACACGGCCCGAACUCCUACGGGAGGCAGCAGUGGGGAAUAUUGGACAAUGGGGGCAACCCUGAUCCAGCCAUGCCGCGUGUGUGAAGAAGGCUUUCGGGUUGUAAAGCACUUUCAGUAGGGAGGAAAACCUUAUGGCUAAUACCCAUGAGGCUUGACGUUACCUACAGAAGAAGCACCGGCUAACUCCGUGCCAGCAGCCGCGGUAAUACGGAGGGUGCAAGCGUUAAUCGGAAUUACUGGGCGUAAAGCGCGCGUAGGUGGUUUGGUAAGCGAGAUGUGAAAGCCCCGGGCUUAACCUGGGAACGGCAUUUCGAACUGUCAGACUAGAGUGUGGUAGA